rnacentral:rRNA from 1 species
GUAGGGGGCAAGCGUUGUCCGGAAUUAUUGGGCGUAAAGCGCGCGCAGGCGGUCUCUUAAGUCCGAUGUGAAAGCCCACGGCUCAACCGUGGAGGGUCAUUGGAAACUGGGGGUCUUGAGUGUAGGAGAGGAAAGUGGAAUUCCAUGUGUAGCGGUGAAGUGCGUAGAUAUGUGGAGGAACACCAGUGGCGAAGGCGACUUUCUGGCCUACAACUGACGCUGAGGUGCGAAAGCGUGGGGAGCAAACAGGGAUUAGAUACCCUGGUAGUCCACGCCGUAAACGAUGAGUGCUAGGUGUUAGGGGUUUCGAUGCCCCUUAGUGCCGAAGUUAACACAUUAAGCACUCCGCCUGGGGAGUACGACCGCAAGGUUG